rnacentral:rRNA from 1 species
UGAGGAAUAUUGGUCAAUGGACGGAAGUCUGAACCAGCCAAGUCGCGUGAAGGAAGACGGCCCUACGGGUUGUAAACUUCUUUAGUGCGGGAACAAAGGAGGGGACGUGUCCCCUUAUGAGUGUACCGCAAGAAUAAGCAUCGGCUAACUCCGUGCCAGCAGCCGCGGUAAUACGGAGGAUGCGAGCGUUAUCCGGAUUUAUUGGGUUUAAAGGGUGCGCAGGCGGACAGUCAAGUCAGCGGUAAAAUCGCGGGGCUCAACCCCGCUCAGCCGUUGAAACUGAUUAUCUAGCGUGGCGUCGAGGUAUGCGGAAUGCGUUGUGUAGCGGUGAAAUGCAUAGAUAUGACGCAGAACUCCAAUUGCGAAGGCAGCAUACCGGGCGCCUACGGACGCUGAGGCA